rnacentral:lncRNA from 1 species
ACAUGGAGCAGCCACUGCCAAGGGAACGGUUGCUCUAUUUACCCUUAUUGUCGGUUUCACUUGCCUAGCCUAGGUAUGCUGAGAUAAUCAUUAUGUGAGGUGAUCUAUCCAUUUUCAGAGUUCCCUCAUUAGUAUCCCUCAUUGUUAAUUGCUAUGCUUAAUUGGAUACUCUGUGUUGUGUUGUUUGCCUUAUUUUGACCCAAAUAAACCACCCCAUUACCAUAUUUUACACUAAUGCCAUAUUUAAUCAUUGACAUAACUUUGGAGGUUUAGUUCAAUUAAAAAGAUGAUGCCAUGUGACUGGAAAGUAUAUAUGUUCAGAUUAUAAUUUAAAUGGAUACGGUGAUUGGCAAUAGAUAAAUCAUAUUAGCCUUGCAUUGCAGAUUAUUUCCUUUUUGUGGUUGGCAUGAAUGGCUUUUGUACUCAAUGGUUUAAGCAGUUGCUCUUUGAAAUAUAAUUUUUCUAUGUAAGAUCUUACCGGCUGUUCUAUUAUUUAAAAUCAUUUGCCAUGUUUGUACUCUUGCUGAAGUUUGAAGAGUUUCCCGGGGGUGGCGAGGAGUACCGGCAUAUCGAGUCCCUGGUGUUUUCCUCUACGAGCUGGGGAGGGCGUGUGGUUCUCUCCUCGUCGGUUUCACUUCUCCCCUUCCUCCUCCAUGGUGCUCAAAAAUAUCACUGACUGCGUGAAUUUAAAAAAUUUGUAGUCUUAUACAAAUAGAAAGAAUAUAUGAUCUAACCUUAUUUCUUAAUCCAACGGUAUCCUACUGCAUUAGUGUACGAGCUGUUACACACAAACAUGGCUUGAAGUUUUCGGAUAAAUGGGACAAACAUAGGGUUGCAGAUUGUAAAUCCAAGUUUUUUUCGCAAAUCAAUUUGACACUAAUCCUUAGAAAAAAGAUAUUUCUGUUGCAUAGAUUGCGUUGUAUAGGUUGUUGACUUGAUUUACAUCACUCCAGUUUUACGAUGGCACAAAAAUUAAUUUAAUUCUGUUAAUUGCAACUGCAACUCUUUCUCAUCACACACAAUGUUAACCUUAUAGAGCUAAGGUGGUUAUAGUUAGAAACCUCUACAAUAUCAUGGAUUGAUUUAGGGUUUCAAAAUAUUGUGAACUGUAAAACGUCUUAUAUUAUAGGACAGUGGUAGUAGUUAACAUGAUUGUUUCAGAUUCUGCCAUGGAAGCAUUUUACCCCUUUUGCAACUUUCGUUACACUAAAUUAGUACUGAAUUGUAAUAUUUCUUCUCUGGGUAUUUUACGUUACAGGAUUGGAACGAAAAGAAGAAACUACAGCGUCACAUAACUGCAGCAAAGAAGGUACUGCAUGAGAUGUAACAGGGUCGUAUUAUGGAAGGUUAGCUCUGAAUUAAUGUUCAUCAUAUGUGCUCUGUACUAAUGAUUGUCCUCAGGGAUUAUUCCAUUCAUAUUGCUCUGAAUUAAUCGUACUCUCAUGCUGCCUCAUUACCUUAUUAUGUUACAACUUUGCUGAAAAAGCCAUUGUUGGUAUCUGGAGUACAAACUGUAGAAUUAGGAUCCUCUGACAUCUAUUUACUACUCUGAAUUUAUUAUUAUUCAAUGACCAUAUAAAUACACAUUUCCAAAUAAUAUAUAUUAGUUUGUCUAUUCAAUGGUGUCAUUUUCCAUUUUUAUAGGCAUUCAGACCUCCCUGUUAUUUUUGUUCUAAGGAUGCACUUCAGUAUUAUGUAACUAUGCUGAUUUUACUGUCAGCAUAAAUAAUAGACGAGUUAAUAUUUCUGCUACAUAACUUUACACCGUAACAAAUCUGGAGACUUCUAACUGGAAGACACAAUUUUCAUUUUUGAAGCGAAGAACAGAAUCCCUGCUGUUCCACGGAGUGAGUACAGUUAAGGUAAAAAAAGGAAAAAGGAAGUCUGGAGCUCUCUCGGCUGUACAACAGAGGGGUUACUUCACGUACUCAUCAGCAGUGAGGCUAAUAUCAUCUCCAAUCAAGUGAAAAAGCAAGGGCGCAGCCUUAGUUUUCUGUUGGAAGACUUCUAUUUCUCUCAUUCCAGAGGUGCUAGCCUGUGCAAGCAGUGACAGUGUACUUUUUAUUGAUCUGAAUCUUCAGGCUUCAUUUUGAAAUUUUGGUCCACGAACGCUUGAUCGCAAAAGUAACAGGUAUCAUGGUGAGGCCAGUUUCUGUUUUGCAUGUUGCCUUAUUUCUCUUCUAUCUGCAGUUUGCUUCCACGUUCUAUAUGUUUGCGAGGAAAUUUCAAAUCGUUUUGUAUGCUCAUCAAUUGGUGCAUCUAGAAUAUGUAUGUGAACCGUGUACCUUACGGAUUCCUUAAGGGCCUCAUGAUUGUUGGUGUUUUUUUCCAUAUGAAAACACCAAGGUUAUUAUCCUAACUAUCAUAGUUUGUACCAGCAGGAUUAUCAUAACAAUUAUGCAAUUAUUUUCCAGGUGAUUACAUAGUUAAAGGUAGUGACUUUUUUAGUCCUAUGUGAUUUCUUAUCAACUGAGCUAUCAAAUUGUGCAUUAUGUACUUGGUCACAACGUUGUAACCGGCACCCUCGCGCGUUUCCGAUCUCAUUGGAUACUUUUGUACUUUAGUUAGAAGCAUAAUUGUCAGAAGCAAGCAUAAUGGCCAUAUGAUGAAGCCGAUAAGUGUUUAGUAGAGACUCCAAUCAAUUCGAUCUCUCCAUGAUCUUUACCGCAUAUGAUAUUUUCCUUCUGGGUAUUUAACUUUGUCAAGUGCAUGCUAUGGUUCAGAGCAAAAUUCAGUUUCCAGUUAUAAUUCAGUGAUUUUCUUACCUUGUAUUUUAUUUUGCAUAAUUGUAGAAAUUGCGGUGGCCAUCCGCGGAUCUACAGUCCCUGGUUUGCUUUGUCGAGGUAUGAUCUUUCAUAAUGUGUUGUAUCUUGCAAUAUUAUUUGAUUUGUUCUUGCCAUCAUUUUUUAGUCUCUUGCAAUAUUAUUUGAUUUAUUUCUCUCAUAAACAGAGCACAAGUUGCCCCUUCUAAUUGAUCUAUCUUGUAUCUAUAUGGUGCAGUGGUGUGUUAGAAUAUGUACAGUCCCAUGUUUUGGUUUCUGCAUUACUUUGUUGUUCUCUAAGCUGUACAAAUAGUGAGACCAAAUUAUGUUCAGUAUAUUCCUUACAUGGUAGAUCCACGGAUGUCCACCCCAAUUUCUACAAUUUUUUAAUACAACAAACUACCAUUUUUUAAUCAUACACUACCUCCUCUGACAGAGAUGGUCGUCGUCCCAUCUUUGUGGUUUAGGAAUAUGCUCUUUUAUUUUGCAAGCAGAAAAUUGAUUAAGGUUUGUGUGAUCAAGUUUAUGUGUUGCCUGCUAUGCAGUGUCCUGGGCAAGAGGACCAAGUGUGGGCGGGUAGGUAUCGGCAAGGCGGGCUGUCAGCAUGGUGUUGGAGUUGGUCGGUAGUGGUGCACCUACGCCACGUAUGGAUCAAUACUCUAGGAGGUUCCAUUGAGGCCCAGUCUAUCCAGGUAGUUUGUUAUACUACUGACUUAGAUACACUUUAUUUAUCAAGAAUUUUUGUAUAUCAUAAUAUCAAAGGCAAAAGGGUCUGUCUAUGGAUGCACUUCUUAUGGUCAUGUACAUUUCAGAGCCACUAUUAUUCAUCAAGAACAUAAUUUAACUAAAGCUCGUUAAAAAAAUUGCCCAUAGAAAUAAUCACUUUGGAUUGGUAGUGUCAAAAGGAUGCAGAACAUUUGUAACAUUUCUUCCCAUAUUCAUGAGACUUUCACUCUGCUGUUGCAUUAGUCAAGUUUAAUUUCAUUACAUAUGUGUGCAUGUAUCAGUUUUCAUAUUUAAAAUGAUAUAUUUAAGAAUUAUCAGAAAUUUUGCCAAAUUUGCUGGGCACAAAACAGAGAUCUGGAAGCAGGACAAACGUCACUGAUAUUUUGUUGGUCAUUUUUGGUGUCGCAUCUCAAAUGGAAUGGCACUCAUGGAGGCAAUUGAACCAAGCUAUGGCAUCGUAGUUUUAUCUCUCUAUUGCCACUGUUGGCUUUUGCUCUCUUGUGUUCCUGCUCAUAUUAUUGAACUUAAUGUUAGCUAAUUAGCUUUUGUAAUUAUACGACCGUG